UAGGCGUACGGGUGAGUAACACGUGGAUGAUCUACCCUGGAGUGGGGAAUAACGCUGGGAAACCGGCGCUAAUACCGCAUAUUCCCGAGAGGGGAAAGCAGCAAUGCGCUCGAGGAGGAGUCCGCGGCCGAUUAGCUAGUUGGCAGGGUAAAAGCCUACCAAGGCUAUGAUCGGUAGCCGGCCUGAGAGGGCACACGGCCACACUGGCACUGAAACACGGGCCAG
rnacentral:rRNA from 1 species